UCUGUAACUUGUCGGUGAUGUGUUCUUUUCCGUGUAUAUGUUGGAUAACCUUAAUGUUUCUCAUCAACUUACAGGAUGAAACGUGAAAGGGUCGUGGCCGUCGUGCAACCAAAAAUCAACUAUUGUGUUCAAAAUCUUUAUAUUCUACUGAAUGUGACAUCAAAAUGAUACAGGAGUCAUAGUUGAAUUGGACUUGCUAGAUCACCAAAAGCCCAGCAUAUAAAAAUCUCUGAUUUCAUCUUCUUGAGAGAAGAUUGGAUAACUGAUUGGUGGUUUCAUGUGUUCUAAACUCCAGGUUUCUAAAUUUGCAUAUGAGAAGUCAU